AACGAACGCUGGCGGCAGGCCUAACACAUGCAAGUCGAGCGCCCUUUCGGGGGAGCGGCGGACGGGUGAGUAACGCGUGGGAAUAUGCCCUUCUCUACGGAAUAGCCUCGGGAAACUGAGAGUAAUACCGUAUACGCCCUGUGGGGGAAAGAUUUAUCGGGGAAGGAUUAGCCCGCGUUGGAUUAGGUAGUUGGUGGGGUAAUGGCCUACCAAGCCGACGAUCCAUAGCUGGUAUGAGAGGAUGAUCAGCCACACUGGGACUGAGACACGGCCCAGACUCCUACGGGAGGCAGCAGUGGGGAAUCUUAGACAAUGGGGGCAACCCUGAUCUAGCCAUGCCGCGUGAGUGAUGAAGGCCUUAGGGUUGUAAAGCUCUUUCAGCUGGGAAGAUAAUGACGGUACCAGCAGAAGAAGCCCCGGCUAACUCCGUG
rnacentral:rRNA from 1 species